UAAUAUUUAGUAUUUAGGGUUUAUUUAUCAUUCUUUUAACACAAUGACCCACACCUGCCAGAAGUUUGAUUCAUAUUCAUGAUUCCAUAUUGGUUUGAGUAAAAUGAAUUUUAUAAUUUGUUGAUUUUGACUUCUUUGUGAGGUGGAGUUAAAUUAGAAUAAACAAAAACAA